CUGCCCAGGGACCACCGACCCCCCGCCGGGAGCCCACUUACAGGCCCUCCAAGCAGUACAACGAGAGGUCUGGAAGCCACUAGCUGCUGCCUAUCAGGACCAGCAAGACCAGCCAGUGAUACCACACCCCUUCCGUGUCGGUGACACUGUGUGGGUACGCCGGCACCAGACUAAGAACUU